GUUACAAUAUUGUCCGAAUCAAAAUCGUAUAGUUGUAUUUAAUUAUGAAUACAAAUAAUUGGUAUGUUUACAUAAAUUAUAAUUGAUUUCUAAAAGAUAGUGAGAGAAAAAUUAAAUGGUUUUCCCUGUUAAGAUUUAUUCAUAGCAUGAUAUUAAAAAGUCGAGCAAAAGAGAGCUCAAAAACAGCUGAUUGUAAGGAAUUGAAGAAAAUAUUUAAAAACUGAUGAAUUUUCACAGCCAUUUAUGUCGCGAUUUAUGGUGUUUCAACUGUUUUAACAUCACCUAGGAAAUUAACAUUAAGACUGCAUUAAGAUAUUAGGAUCCUGCAGAUAACUAGAUAAGAAGUAUGAUCUUGUUAGCAUACCUAUUCCGUCAUAAUAUGAAGUGAAGAUAUUCAUGGUGUGGAAGUUGUUACUUUAAUUACAUAGUGCAUAUGAAAUUGGUCCUUUACAUCA